GGUCUGUGGAGUUUUGGCAUGUACUGAGUGUAAAUUUGAAGAUUAUUAGUUUAGCUCUAGAAUUACUGUAAGACCUG
rnacentral:snoRNA from 1 species